rnacentral:rRNA from 1 species
AUGACCACACACACACCGGAGUUUCUCGGACUGAAGAAUGGCACCGGAUUUUGGAGCGAUGCAGGCUACGGGAAGGGAGUGAUUGUCGGUCUACUCGACACCGGGAUCUAUGCAUCACACCCUUCGUUCGACGAUCAUGGUGUCCCACCACCCCCGAUGAAGUGGAAGGGCUCAUGCAAGGCGGUCAGGUGCAACAACAAGCUCAUCGGUGCCAAAUCAGUUGUUGGAGAUGAUGGCUCGUAG